GAUUCUGCCCUACGGGGAAGGAUGAGAAGCUUCGACCAAGGUUCGACUCGAGCGCCAGCGUGAGAACGUUGCCGCAGGCAAUGGCCCGAAGGGCGAGGAGCGAUAGCGACGAGUUAUCCUUCCCCCUCUAUUC
rnacentral:sRNA from 1 species